rnacentral:rRNA from 1 species
AUUGAACGCUGGCGGCAUGCCUAACACAUGCAAGUCGAGCGGAGCGGCGGACGGGUGAGUAAUGCCUAGGUAUCUGCCUGGUAGUGGGGGAUAACGUUCGGAAACGGGCGCUAAUACCGCAUCCUCUCACAUGAGCCUAGGUCGGAUUUGCCAGUUGGUGGGGUAAAGGCCUACCAAGUCGACGAUCCGUAACUGGUCUGAGAGGAUGAUCAGUCACACUGGAACUGAGACACGGUCCAGACUCCUACGGGAGGCAGCAGUGGGGAAUAUUGGACAAGGGGCGAAAGCCUGAGCCAGCCAUGCCGCGGGUGUGAAGAAGGUCUUCGGAUUGUAAAGCACUUUAAGUUGGGAGGCGUUACCAACAGAAUAAGCACCGGCUAACUUCGUGCCAGCCGCCGCGGUAAUUC